CUUACACUUAGUAUUUUGUUAUCUAUGAUAGUGAACGAGAGCCGACAGGUACUCCAGGAACCUGAGGGAUACAAAUAGUCCUAUCAUAAGGAAAUCAAGAGGAACUUCCACUCAAGGGACAUCCACACAUGCUUCUUCAACUCAGCUGGCCAUGGUGGGUGGCCAGAGAAGCAAAGCAGGGAGUGUCCACAGCAAAGUGAGCAGCUACUACGGCAGCCUCCAAAGGUCCUGUGAUGGCAGGUACACUCCCUGCAGUUACAGAGGAAUGGAGGAGAGACUACCUCAUGGCAGCAUGUCACGACUUACAGAUCACUCCAGGCACAGUAGUUCCCAUCAGCUCAGUGAACAGUUAACAACAUAGCAGCAUCAGAGAUCUCAGUAAUAAUCCUAUGACUCACAUCACACAUGGUACCAGCAUGAAUCAGGUUAUUGAAGAAGAUGGAACCAGUGCUCAAAUUGUCCUAAGGUGAAUUUGUGCUGUUUAAAAAGAAGAUUUUAUUCUUUGCCUUUGCAUGACUGAUUGCUAUAACUCAGUUAUGAUGCUUUCAGUCAGGUGCAGAUUGUGUCCGUUGAGAAGUGAAUUUUUGCUUUUUAUAUUGCAUCAAACUUGGAACCUCAAGGCAUCCAAAAUGCUAAGAAUGAUAUGAUCACAUAAAUAACUCUUAUUUCUAGGUUAUGAAGAAAUAAUUAUUUGUCUGGUAAGCAUUUUUAUAAACACACUUGUUUUAUAUUUGGAAAAAUCCUUAAUGUAUGAUGACUGCUUUAUAGUGAACUUUCAUAUAAUAUCAACUAGUUGUGAGGUAACAUUCUGGUAGUUAGUUCUGUUAAUAAAACAAAUUUUUAGAAUUAAAGAAAUUUUCUAUGCAAGGUUUAUUUCUCAGAUGAAUAGUAGGACUUUGUAGUUUUCUUUCCGCUAAGUGAAAAAGAACUGUUUUUAAAACGUAGGAGAAUUUGAUAAAUCAGCAAGGGUGUUUUAGCUAAUAGAAUAUAAAAUCAACUGAAGAAUCUGAUUAGUCUACUGAGACUCUUUUGAAAUUCUGUCAAAAUAGUCUUUAUCCAGAGAAAUACAGGAGUAGGAUUAGCAACAGAGUGAAAGCAGAGAUGGGCAUUUUUUUUCUCAGUAAUUGUGCUGUUUUUAUUACCUUAGUUAAAUAUUACUUUUACUGACUGUGUUUUUAUAUUGAUAACUUAUCCAUAGCAUGACAGAAAAUGUUUACUUUUAGCCAUUUUUUUCCCAUUUAGUAGUAUUGAUUUGUAGAGAACUUCAUGUUCAGAUAUGUUCUAUGGAAGCAUGUAAUAAGAUAAGCAUCACACACUGUAAGCCUUUCUGUAGUAACCAUAGUUACAAAACAGCAGAGUGUUUCCUCUGUAUCUGUUAUUGUGUUUUUUGCAGUGAGAUCUAAUCUUGCCAAAGCUGCCAGAUGUUGGUAUCCAGGCCCCUCCUAUCAGUGGACUUGUUUGCACUUGCAUUGCCCAGUAGCCAAUAAGCUAUAGCUUUUGCCCCACACCCAUAUCUUUAGAUUCUGGGUCAUUCUGGGUCAUUUAGAUUCUUGUUUACAGCUGAAAUAUAUAUAUAAUCCAAUUCAUUGUAGCUUAAUGAAGCAUGAUUAGUCCUGCUGUGAAGUAUCUUUUAACUUUAAAAAUAUAAACUCAAAAACCUUUGA